CCAAUGAUUGGGAACCAGUUGAGGUUGAUAGAUCUCCUGGUUGCUAAAAUCAAAUACCCAUCUUUGUGCACCUUUUUUAUGUCUCUGGUGGUCGCAAGAGAAGUCUCUUAUUUGGAGGAUCUCUUCUAGUUCAUUUUGAUCCUCGGACAAAUGAAUGAAGCCACCAAAUGGUUGCUAUAACACACCUUUUUUGCCGUCCAAAAUAUCUGUCUAACAUUGAUUUGUGUAAAAUACAUAAAAA
rnacentral:misc_RNA from 1 species